GACGAACCGUCCAAACGUUAUUCGGAAUCACUGGGCUUAAAGGGCGCGUAGGCGGCCGAGCGGGUCACGGGUGAAAUCCUCCAGCUUAACUGGAGAACUGCCCUUGAUACCACUGCGGCUCGAGGAAGGAAGGGGCAAUCGGAACUGUCGGUGGAGCGGUGAAAUGCGUUGAUAUCGACAGGAACGCCGGUGGCGAAAGCGGAUUGCUGGUCCUUUUCUGACGCUGAGGCGCGAAAGCGUGGGGAGCGAACAGG
rnacentral:rRNA from 1 species